rnacentral:rRNA from 1 species
GACGAACGCUGGCGGCGCGCUUAACACAUGCAAGUCGAACGGGCAGCUUCGGCUGUCAGUGGCGAACGGGUGCGUAACACGUGAGCAACCUGCCUGGAGUUGGGGGAUAACCUCGGGAAACCGGGGCUAAUACCGCAUGAUCUCUGUCUACCGAGUGGUGGGUGGAGGAAAGGCGCUUUCGGGCGUUGACUUCAGAGGGGCUCGCGGCGUAUCAGCUGGUUGGUGAGGUAACGGCUCACCAAGGCGACGACGCGUAGGGGGUCUGAGAGGAUGGCCCCCCACAUUGGGACUGAGAUACGGCCCAGACUCCUACGGGAGGCAGCAGUGGGGAAUCUUGCGCAAUGGCCGAAAGGCUGACGCAGCGACGCCGCGUGCGGGAGGAAGCCCUUCGGGGUGUAAACCGCUGUCAGGGGGGACGAAAGCCCGGGGGAGGGAAUGCCCCUUGGGGAUGACGGUACCUCCAGAGGAAGCACCGGCUAACUCC